CUACGGGAGGCACCAGUGAGGAAUAUUGCACAAUGGGGGGAACCCUGAUGUAGCAACGCCGCGUGGAGGAUGACGCAUUUCGGUGUGUAAACUCCUUUUAUAUGUCAAGAAAAUGACGGUAGCAUAUGAAUAAGCACCGGCUAACUCCGUGCCAGCAGCCGCGGUACUACGGAGGGUGCAAGCGUUACUCGGAAUCACUGGGCGUAAAGGACGCGUAGGCGGGUUGGAAAGUCAGGUGUGAAAUCCUACAGCUUAACUGUAGAACUGCACUUGAAACUUCUAAUCUAGAGUAUGGGAGGGGGAGAUGGAAUUAGUGGUGUAGGGGUAAAAUCCGUAGAUAUCACUAGGAAUACCUAAAGCGAAGGCGAUCUCCUGGAACAUUACUGACGCUAAGGCGUGAAAGCGUGGGGAGCAAACAGGAUUAGAUACCCGAGUAGUC
rnacentral:rRNA from 1 species